rnacentral:rRNA from 1 species
AUUGAACGCUGGCGGCAGGCCUAACACAUGCAAGUCGAACGGUAACAGGAAGAAGCUUGCUUCUUUGCUGACGAGUGGCGGACGGGUGAGUAAUGUCUGGGAAACUGCCUGAUGGAAGGGGAUAACUACUGGAAACGGUAGCUAAUACCGCAUAACGUCGCAAGACCAAAGAGGGGGACCUUCGGGCCUCUUGCCAUCGGAUGUGCCCAGAUGGGAUUAGCUAGUAGGUGGGGUAACGGCUCACCUAGGCGACGAUCCCUAGCUGGUCUGAGAGGAUGACCAGCCACACUGGAACUGAGACACGGUCCAGACUCCUACGGGAGGCAGCAGUGGGGAAUAUUGCACAAUGGGCGCAAGCCUGAUGCAGCCAUGCCGCGUGUAUGAAGAAGGCCUUCGGGUUGUAAAGUACUUUCAGCGGGGAGGAAGGGAGUAAAGUUAAUACCUUUACUCAUUGACGUUACCCGCAGAAGAAGCACCGGCUAACUCCGUG